rnacentral:rRNA from 1 species
UGUGCGCAUCCUCUACCUAUUAAGUGUUAAUUAAAUUAAAGGGUUUCUUUUUAAAAUCUUCUAUAACUAAUAAAAAAAUAUGGAAGAUUUUGUUACUUUGAGUAAAUUAGAGUGUUCAAAGCAAACAGAUAUAUAGCAUUUGUGCGUUUGAAUACUACAGCAUGGAAUAACAAAAUUGAACAGGUCAAAACUAUGUUUCUUUUUUUUUAUUUUUGGCUUAGUUACGAUUAAUAGGAGUAGUUUGGGGACAUUUGUAUUCAGAUGUCAGAGGUGAAAUUCUAAGAUUUUCUGGAGACAAACAACUGCGAAGGCAUUUGUCUAAAAUACUUCCAUUAAUCAAGAACGAAAGUUAAGGGAGUGAAGACGAUCAGAUACCGUCGUAAUCUUAACCAUAAACUAUACCGACUAGGUUUUGGAUGAAAGUAAAACAAAUAAGGAUAGUCUCUUCGGGGAUAGUUCUUAGAUUUCUUCCUUCAGUACCUUAUGAGAAAUCAAAGUCUUUGGGUUCUGGGGCGAGUAUUCGCGCAAGCGAGAAAGUUAAAAGAAUUGACGGAAGGGCACCACCAGGCGUGGAGCUUGCGGCUUAAUUUGACUCAACACGGGAAAACUCACUAGUUUAAGACAAGAGUAGGAUUGACAGAUUAAUAGCUCUUUCUUGAUUUCUUGGAUGGUGAUGCAUGGCCGUUUUUAGUUCGUGAAUAUGAUUUGUCUGGUUAAUUCCGAUAACGAACGAGAUCUUAACCUGCUAAUUAGCAGUAAGUACAACAUAUUUCUAUGCUGAAUUUGUAUUUGGAUAAUUUAAAAGGUUCUUUUGCCGUGCAUAUAAUGAGUACGGAAAAAAUGCAUACUGCUACCUUGUACCUAAUAAUACUUGGCGCCUAUGCAUAUUUCCAACCCUCUAUUCCCUGUACCGCAUAAAACUGGAUUAUGAUGCCAUUUCACUUUUAUGUAGAAAUGUAUUUGCUUUUACAUAAAGCUUCUUAGAGGAACGAUGUGUGUCUAACACAAGGAAGUUAAGC